rnacentral:rRNA from 1 species
ACGAGUGGCGGACGGGUGAGUAAUGCUUGGGAAUCUGGCUUAUGAGGGGGGAUAACUACGGGAAACUGUAGCUAAUACCGCGUAAAAUCUUCGGAUUAAAGGGUGGGACUUUCGGGCCACCUGCCAUAAGAUGAGCCCAAGUGGGAUUAGGUAGUUGGUUAGGUAAAGGCUGACCAAGCCGACGAUCUCUAGCUGGUCUGAGAGGAUGACCAGCCACACUGGAACUGAGACACGGUCCAG